rnacentral:rRNA from 1 species
GACGAACGCUGGCGGCGUGCUUAACACAUGCAAGUCGAACGGAAAGGCCCUGCUUUUGUGGGGUGCCCGAGUGGCGAACGGGUGAGUAACACGUGAGCAACCUGCCCUUGACUUUGGGAUAACUUCAGGAAACUGGGGCUAAUACCGGAUAGGAGCUCCUGCUGCAUGGUGGGGGUUGGAAAGUUUCGGCGGUUGGGGAUGGACUCGCGGCUUAUCAGCUUGUUGGUGGGGUAGUGGCUUACCAAGGCUUUGACGGGUAGCCGGCCUGAGAGGGUGACCGGCCACAUUGGGACUGAGAUACGGCCCAGACUCCUACGGGAGGCAGCAGUGGGGAAUAUUGCACAAUGGGCGGAAGCCUGAUGCAGCAACGCCGCGUGCGGGAUGACGGCCUUCGGGUUGUAAACCGCUUUCGCCUGUGACGAAGCGUGAGUGACGGUAAUGGGUAAAGAAGCACCGGCUAACUACGUG